rnacentral:rRNA from 1 species
GACGAACGCUGGCGGCGUGCCUAAUACAUGCAAGUAGAACGCACAGUUUAUACCGUAGCUUGCUACACCAUAAACUGUGAGUUGCGAACGGGUGAGUAACGCGGAGGUAACCUGCCUGGUAGCGGGGGAUAACUAGUGGAAACGAUAGCUAAUACCGCAUACUAUUGAUUAUUGCAUGGUAAUUGAUGGAAGGAUGCUAUUGCAUCACUACCAGAUGGCCCUUCGGUGUAUUAGCUAGGAGGCGAGGUAACGGCUCACGUAGGCGAGGAAACAUAGCCGACAUGAGAGGGUGGUCGGCCAAACUGAGACUGUGACACGGCACAGAGGCAUAGGGGAGGGAGCCGUAGGGAAUCUUCGGCCAGGGACGAAAGUCUGACCGCGAAGCGCGGCGGGAGUGAAGAAGGAUGUCGGAUCGGAAAGCUCUGUUGUCAGGGAAGAACGGGUGUGAGACUGGAAAGUUCAGACAGUGACGGUAUCUGAUCAGGAAGGGACGGCUAACUACGUG